rnacentral:lncRNA from 1 species
UUUGAGUAAUUCAAAUUACCCACCCUUCCUUUUGAAGGUUUGUUUGAGGAGUUGUUGGAGUAUAAGUCUUUGGUGUGAUACCAAACCGUUGGGGAUAAAAGAUCAUGGGAUUUUUGGGACUAAUGGCGAGACAUAGUGAACUAUCUUGUCAUGUGUCUCUAACCCCGCGCUCUGGGUUGUUGUGGGAGGCGGAAGCUACAGAAAGCGU